rnacentral:rRNA from 1 species
AUUGAACGCUGGCGGCAGGCCUAACACAUGCAAGUCGAGCGAGCUGCGGACGGGUGAGUAAUGUCUGGGAACCUGCCUGAUGGAGGGGGAUAACUACUGGAAACGGUAGCUAAUACCGCAUACCAUCGGAUGUACCCAUAUGGGAUUAGCUAGUAGGUGGGGUAACGGCUCACCUAGGCGACGAUCCCUAGCUGGUCUGAGAGGAUGACCAGACACACUGGAACUGAGACACGGUCCAGACUCCUACGGGAGGCAGCAGUGGGGAAUAUUGCACAAUGGGCGCAAUCCUGAUGCAGCCAUGCCGCGUGUGUGAAGAAGGCCUUCGGGUUGUAAAGCAUUUUCAGCGGGGAGGCGUUACCCGCAGAAGAAGCACCGGCUAACUCCGUGCCAGCAGCCGCGGUAAUAC